AUGAGAGGAUGGGUGAUCGCGGGAGAUACCUCUCCUGAGGAAAGUCCGGGCACCAAUUAACGAUACUGGGUAACUCCCAGAGGGGGUGACCCCUGGAAAGUGCCACAGAAACCACACCGCCUACUGAGAAUCAGUAGGUAAGGGUGAAAAGGUGGGGUAAGAGCCUACCAGCAGGAAAGUGAUUUCCUGGCUGGGUAAACCCUAUCAGGUGCAAGGCCAAAUAGGAGGUUAAACCUCGGGUAGGCCGCUUGAGGUUCAGGGUAACCUGAAUCCCAGAUAAAUGAUCACCACCGGAAGGAUAUUUCCUCCGGCAACAGAACCCGGCUUACACUCCUCUCAUCCCC
rnacentral:RNase_P_RNA from 1 species